AUUUGCACUGGUGUAGACAUAUUGGUAGCCCCUUAUCCACUACCACAAAACAUUUGAUGAAAUUGCAGAGGGAGAGUUGAACAGCAAUGGCUUCAGCUGCUUCAUCUUCUUCGUUUUCCACAAGGCUUCUUCUGCAUUCACCCACAACUCUACUGGGCAGAAGAAGAAGAAGGUCCAAUGUUCUGAGGAUGGUGACUCGCUCAUGUCUCGAUGACAGCUCUGCUCUGCUCCGAGCAGCUCAAUACACUGUGGAUACAUAUGUGAAAAGUGGCAUGGUUGUAGGAUUGGGGUCUGGUCAUGCUUCUGGUAUGGCCAUUCAGCAUUUGGGUCGCCAGCUUCGUACGGGUAACUUGAAGGAUAUUGUUGGGACUCCCAUGUUUGUUGCAAUUGCAAGUGAGGCAGCAAAAGGGUGGGAUUCCAUUAGAUACCUACCAAGACAGUUCUCAAGUGUGCAAAAAAAUAAUCAUCUUCUAGAUUUUCCUUUCAUGUUGGGUGUUUCUUGUUUUAGAGGACACUUGGAUGCUUACCAAAAUUUUAGAAGAACAUGAAUUCUUUCAUGCAAUCCCUGGUGAAAACUUUCCUGAAAAAAGAAGUUUCUGGCAUAAAUGCAUGACUAUAAAUAAAAUCUUUUGAUACAAGGAAGUAAAAAGGAGAAUAUAUCUUGAUGUGUAAACUUAUGUGCUUUCUUUAAUUUUAUUUCGGAUAGAACCAAUUUCUUAUUGUAGAUUCAUUUGCAAUCGCUCUGUUAUAGAUUGAUUUUGCAUUUGAUGAUGCUGAUGUUAUAGAAGAAGGGACACUUGUUGCUAUCAUUGGGCGCUGGAAAUUGCCAGAUCAACUGGAUGGCUACUGCUGAAGAGAUUGAUGAUAUGUUUCUGGCCUGGGUGAUGCUGAGGUUCACUAAAUCACUUUCUUUUUCUGAGUUUUUCUUCAUGUAUGUAAUAAAAAAUUGUUAGAAGUGAUUGUUUGCUUUACCAACUUAAAUAGUGACAAUGAUAUAUAUAGACUCAAUAUUUAUUUCAAAUAUCAGGGUAUUGUGACUUGGCUUGUAUAACUGUGUAUAGGCUACUUUAUUUUAUAGAAGAAAUAUGCUUAUACCCUGCAAGUGGUCUGUAUCCAUCUACAGGAGAUGAGAGAAAUAGGAAAAGAGAGAAAAUGAAAGAUGUGAUGGGAAAACAAUAGAGUUGAAUUAAAGAUGCAGGAUUUAGUUGUGAUGGGAAAAAUCAUAGUUGUUCUUUAAAGACGCAGGAUUUAGUUGUGAUUCAUAACAUCCAAAGUCUUUUCCCACCAGAUUGGGUUGAAUCAAAUAACACCAUUGUGUUAUUUCCAUAACCAAAUCUUUGAAGAAGCAAUUUAAUUCUGAUGGUUUUAGAGUCAACUUUGUCUAGUUCUAUUCCUAGUUUUUGGACCAUCAUUCAUCUAAUCGAUUAUUCUUUCCAGGGUCCAAACCAUUUUAAGCACAAUUGUACCAUCUUUUCCUCAAUUGAUGCUACAUUAACUUUGAGCCCAUUUGUUAUAUUUUUUUUCAUGAAUUUACUUUUGAAAAACCACUUAAAAAAAUUAAGAAAGUCCUUUCAGCUUUAGGGAAUAAUCAGAUUUCUGCUUAUUUUGAGUGUCUAUCUUGAGUAACUUCUGCAGAUAAGUAGCAAUUAUAAUGACUACCUUUUAAAAUAAUAAGUAAUGUUAAUUUGCUGGUUUAGAAGGUAAUUCUGAUCUCGUUUACUGGUUUGUGGAUACUAGGCAAGAUGGUCUUGGAAUUGUUUGAAUAAGAAAGACACUCUAUUUGUUAGCUCUCGUGAAGCUUUAGGAAAUUUGAUUUUCAUCAUUUUCUUGGACUGGACCUGGCUGGCUUUACUAUGGCAGAGUGUAAACUAUGCUUGCUUUGCGGGUCUUACUGUUGUAUGCUAACAAAGACAAGGGGAAUCUACCUGAUAUAAUAUAUCAUAGUAGUUACUGAAAUUCUAGUCAUGUUCUAUCUAAGUGGAUUGUUGCAGGGCAGGUGCUGGGGUUACAUACUGGCUAUUGAAGAUGUGAAGUAGCAUUGAUGUUUGGAGAAAGUCUAUUGGCUCUUUCUUGAAAUUUGUGGGUGGUGGGCACUAGUAGUAGGAUUAUUGUUAUUGUCUUGUAAUUUUACUACUUAGUUCUCUUUUCUCCUCUUUUCCUUCUUGUAUUGGGUUGAAGUACCCCUUGUGCUUCACUUCAAUAUAAUUCAUUUGGCUUAUCAAAAAAAAUAAUAAGUGUUUUAUUCUGAAAAGAAAAUCAUUUUCCUACA